GUGGGGAUUUAAAAUUAAAUGAAAGAAUAAUUGAAGAAAGAACACAGGCGUUGAACUACUUUUAUCUUCUUCAAUCACAAAGCAGGACUUCUUCACUCGGGGACGUAGUCGGCAGAUCGAAUCGAGCUUUCGCAGGCUUUGACGGAUCGAUCAUACUCCCACUAGAAAUAAUUAAUUCAACUUGCAUUAAAGAGUCAAAUUUUGCAAUCCAAAAGAUUGAAUCACAAGAAGGACCUCCUCCACCCAAAUCAUCUCAGAAUCACUCUGGAGAGCCAUCUUAGCGAAAUGGUGUGCAACCAUAUUAGCAUCUCUUCUUACAAAAUUAGCAUCAUCCACAAUUGAACUCAAGGAACCAGCACUGAGUUUCUAUUUGUUACUGCAGCAAUCAAACCCAAUGAGUCAGAUUCAGCAGGACUAAUUCUUCACUCUCGUGGACGUCGGCGGUGGAUCGAAACGAACAUUCGCAGGCUUUGACGGAUCGAUCAUCCUCCCACUGAGAUCAAAAUAGCCCUUCAUAGAUUUAUUUUUUACCUGUCAAAUAUGGUGUCCACCAUGGCUCAAUGGAAGUAUGAUGUGUUUCUUAGUUUUAGCGGAAAGGAUACACGUGAAAAUUUUACUAGCCAUCUUUACGACGCUUUGUGUCGUAAAAAAAUAAGGGCCUUCAUGGACAAUGAACUUGAAAGAGGAGAAGAAAUAACACCUGCACUUUUGAAAACGAUCGAAGAAUCAAGAAUUUCAGUAAUCAUAUUCUCAGAAAACUAUGCAACUUCUCCAUGGUGCGUGGAUGAAUUGGUGAAAAUACUUGAAUGCAAGCAAACUCAUGGGCAAAUUGUUUUGCCUGUUUUCUACCAUGUAAAUCCAUGUAAUGUAGAAGAACUAAGUGGAAGCUUUGGAAAUGCUUUCCUUGAGCUUGAGAGGAAUUUUAAGGAGAAAAUGGACAAGUUCCCCAGGUGGAGAGCUGACUUCACCAAAGCAGCAAAUAUAUCUGGAUGGGAUUCCUACAUGAUUAGGCCUGAGUCCAAACUAGUGAAUGAAAUUGUGGAACAUAUUUUGAAGAAAUUGAGUUGUGGGUCGUCAAGUGAUUCAAAAGGCAUAGUUGGAAUGGAUUCACGCGUUAGACAAGUUAAAACUUUGUUAUGCACCGGAUUGCCCAUUGUCCGUAUUGUAGGUAUUUGGGGUAUGGGUGGUAUUGGUAAAACAACUAUUGCUGGUGCUAUUUUCAAUACUAUCUCGAGUAGAUAUGAAGGUUCUUGCUUUCUUUCAAAUGUCAGGGAAGAAUCAGAAAAAUGUGGGGGACUAAUCCAUUUAAGAGAAGAACUUCUUUCUAAAAUCUUAGAGGAAGAAAAUCUUCAUAUUAGCACUCCCAGUAUAGGAUCCACUUCUAUAAAGGAAAGGCUUCGACGUAAAAAGGUUUUGGUUGUUCUUGACGAUGUGAAUGAUAUAGCUCAAGUGGAAUUCCUAAUUGGAACACGGGAUAUGUUUGGCCUUGGAAGUAGAGUUAUCAUAACAUCUAGAGAUAGACAAUUGCUUAAGAAUGUAGUUGACGAAAUAUAUGAAGUUGAGGGAUUGAACGAUCAUGGAGCUCUCCAGCUCUUUAGUUUAAAUGCUUUUAAGGAAAACUAUCCCAAAAUGGAUCUUGUAGAGCUAUCAAAGAGGGCUGUGAGUACUGCUCAAGGCAAUCCAUUGGCAGUUAAAGUUUUGGGUUCUCUUUUAUUUGACAGGAGUAAAAGUGAGUGGGAAAGUGCAUUGAACAAACUUGAAAGGGUUCCCCUCCAAAAAAUUCAUAACGUGUUAAGAAUUAGUUAUGAUUUGCUAGAUGAUGAAGAGAAGUGUAUAUUUCUUGAUAUUGCGUGUUUCUUUAAAGGCCAACAAGUUAAUUUCGUAAAAAGUUUACUAGAUGGUUCUGAUAUUGGAAUUAGUGUUCUAGCUGAUAAGUGCCUCAUCACAAUUUCAGAAAACAAGAUAGGGAUGCAUGAUUUGUUGCAAGGGAUGGCUCAUGAAAUUGUUCGCCAAGAAUCAAUUAAUCAGAUAGGAAAACGCAGCAGAUUAUGGAAUCCAAGAGAUGUGUAUCAACUGCUGACCAAAAAUCUGGGAACUGAGAAAGUUGAAGGGAUAUUCUUAGACAUUUCUAACAUAAGAGAAAUGGAGUUGAGUUCUGGAGCCUUUAAUGAGAUGCAUAAUCUUAGAUUGCUCAAAAUUUAUGACUCUGGAGUUGGAAAUAACUGCAAAGUGCACAUUCCUUACGGUCUGGGAUCACUUCCUGAUAAGUUGAGGUAUCUCCAUUGGGAUGGAUUCCCUCUGAAAUCUUUGCCAUCUACUUUUCAGCCAGAGAACCUGGUCAAACUUGACCUCUCUUACGGCAAUGUUCAACAACUGUGGGGAGGAGUACAGAAUAUUGUGAAUUUGAAAGAGAUUAAUCUUAGCAAUUGUGAGAACUUAACUGCAAUUCCAGACCUCUCACUGGCUACAAAUCUUGAGAGAUUGAAUUUUGAUUACUGUACAAGUUUGGUAGAAUUUCCUUCAUCUGUUCAGUAUCUAGACAAGCUUGUUGAGUUGGAUCUUAGUCACUGCACUAGUCUUAUGAGUCUUCCAAGUAGAAUUAAUCUGAGAUCUCUCAAGACUCUUAAGUUUUCUGGCUGCUCAAAUCUUCAGAGGUGUCCAGAAAUUAAAGGGAACUUGACGUAUCUGAAUUUAAAUGGGACUGCAGUAGAAGAACUUUCCCGAUCAAUUGGGUACCUCAGUGGACUUGUUGCAUUGAAUUUGAAGGACUGUAAACAACUUGGGAAUCUUCCAGACAAUGUCUGUUUUAUGAAGUCUCUUAUAAUUGUUGAUAUCUCUGGCUGCUUGAAUGUCACCAGGUUUCCGGAUUUUUCUGAGAAUGUCAGAUAUUUGUACUUAAGUGAUACUGCAAUAGAAGAGCUUCCUUCCUCAAUUGGUUGUCUUCGUAGACUCUCUACUUUGGAUCUAAUGAACUGCAAAAGGCUUAAGAAUCUUCCCUGUACCGUUUCUAAGUUGGCAUCCCUUCAAAAACUUAUUCUCUCUGGCUGCUCAAGUAUCACCAUGUUUCCUGAGGUCUCAAGAAAUAUAAGGGAGUUAUAUUUAGAUGGGACAGCAAUAAAGGAAAUUCCAUCAUCAAUUGAGCCAUUGUCUAAUUUAAUUGAAUUGCAUCUGAGGAACUGUACAGAAUUCGAGACUCUCCCAAGCAGUUUUUGUAAGUUGAAAUCUCUCCAAAAGGUUAAUCUCUCUGGCUGCUCCAAAUUUGAGAAUUUUCCAGAAAUUUUGGAGACUAUGGUUUCAUUGAGAUAUCUAUACUUAGACAGAACAGCCAUAAGAAGGUUACCGUUGCCAAUUAAAAAUCUUCCAGGACUUUCUGUCUUGGAAUUGGGGAACUGCAAAAACCUUGUCAAAAUGCCUGAAUUUUAUAGCAGCUUACCUGACUGGAAUGCAGAUUUAGAAUAUCUGCGGAAGCUAUGCCUAAGUGGUUGUGGUAUAUCACAUGUGCCUUGCACCAUCCGCUGCUUUUCCUCUCUGGAAGUACUGGACUUAAGUGGAAACAAUUUUGAGCAUUUACAUAUAAGCUUUGAGAACUUCCCGGAGCUGCAAUACCUUGGCCUAAGGUCUUGUAAGCGGCUUUUAUCGUUACCAGAGCUUCCACCACGGCUAACAAAAUUAGAUGCAAAUGAUUGCACAUCGCUGAUAAAUGUUUCGACCAAAUCGACUGCAGUUGAGGGGAACAUCUGUGACUUCUUUUUCACCAAUUGUCUCAGUUUAGAUGAGAUUGCUUGCAAUAACAUCAUGGCAUAUGCCCUAUUGAAAAUUCAGAUUUUCACCAAAAGAUUACACAAUCAGAUGUAUUCUGUACCAGCCGGGCCUUCCAGCUUAUGCUUUCCAGGAAGAACAAUUCCAAAAUGGUUUGGGCAUCAAAGUUGGAAAUCUUCAAUAACAAUUGAGCUGCCUUCAUAUUGGGCUAGUAAUGAUUUCUUGGGUUUCACUCUAUGUGCACUUGUUGCAUUUGAUUCGUGUUUUGAUGAAUCCAGUUUCCAAUUUAGAUGCAGUUACCAUUUCAAGAAUAAUUAUGGUGAUUUCCUGGAUCUCCAUUGUGAUUUUGGUGGUUGGUAUGGCUGGAAGGAUAGACGAUUUAUCAAGUCAGAUCAUGUGUUCGUGGGGUUUGAUCCCUGUUUGGACGUCAUGAAAAAUAACAGUUUUGGAAAAUUUAGUGCGGUCAUAAUCAAAUUUUACCCGCAAGAUAUGAACAACAGUCCUUUAAAUUGUUGUAAUGUAAUCGAGUGUGGAGUCCGUCUACUAUAUGACCAAGAUGAGAAAUAUGUUGAUUUUGUUGUGUCACCUAUUCCUUGGUCUCCAGCUAGAAAAAAAAUAAAACCUCUCUCUCUGUCGCAGACAUCUGUGGAUAAAGGAAUGCUUAGUUUUUUAAAUGGAACAUCUCAUCUGCUUGAUGACAGUAAUCAAGAAACUGAGGAAGAAAGGUACAAAGCCAAGAGACGUCGUCAUGACAAGUGUUGUAGUGAGACUGAGCGUAGUAGAAGCACCUUCAAGAAUUACAUGGAAACUAGCACAAAUGACUUGGAGGAAGAAGACCUUAGCCCUCUGUUUGUUUUGAAGGAAACAACUAAAAGUCGUAGGAGUAAACGAAAGAGAAGGAUAGACUUUGCCGGAUGGAAAUAAACAAGGAAAGACCAACAACCUUCCUUUUUGUUUCCAGACACACAGGGAAAGGAAAAGGUGAGCUCAAAGGACUGUUCAUUUGGAUCUUCCAUUCUUGCUUUUAAGUCAAUGUGCAUCAACCUCAUAGAAAAAUCAUCAGAACCCAUAUUCCAUCUUUGCAAACCACUCUAAAUCACAUUAGAAAGCAUUGGAAUGGUUGUUGAUUCCACCAUCAAUGAAUGUGCAGACCAGGAAACUGUAGCAAAAUUUCUGAUCAAGAGAUUUUGGUUGGAUUUCAACAAUAAAGUUUAAAAUUUGAGAAGAAUUUGGCACUUGUUUUAACUUCUUCUCCAUGUUUGUUAUUGGUGUUGGUAUUGGGUGUGAAUCAUGCGGGAUGGGGAUUGGCAAAAUCUCGUUAUUGAAGAAGAAGAUUGAAUCAUAUGACUGCUCAAUGAGAUGUGUUGCCACUGCCUGCCUCUUUGGAACGCCUAUUUCAGCGAACCAGGAUACAUUCCAAAUCAUUUGAAACGCUGGAGUUUCGUGUUCUGGCCUUCUGGGACGUGCAUCCCAGUUUGUGGUUCGGAGGGCAGGGCAGCGAAUUAGGUUGCAAUGACUCCAAUGUUGCUGAGAUGAAGGAAAUAGAGAAAGCUCUACAUCUUUUCUCCCCCAAACCUGACCUUAGCACAUUGGCUGCUGGUAUAUUUAUGGAGUCAGACUCUAGAGUUGCUCUUUCAUUGGUUAAUAAUCCGGAUCCGGCACCAUGGCAACUGUCAAUUCUAUCACUAUAUAUACUUUGCCCCCUGUUUCUUUUGUGCAUGACCCUAGAGAGGCUAAUUGCAUGGCUGACUUGCUUGCAAAACAGGGUCACCAGCGCUUUGAAGACUUUACUUUAUUGCUUUGAUCUCAGCUUCAUCGGGUGAUUUGAGAUGUGGUCAAGUUUGCUUUGUUUCUUGUGCUGUUGCUACCGACUUUUUGGCAUGAUUGUGUGUGGUGCUGCCUCAUUGUUGUCUUGUUUUUGGGUAUUUUUCAACUUGUUUUGGUUUUAUCCUUUUAGAUGUGUUGUUUUCAUAAUAUUGUUAAUGUUGGUCUAUUUGUUUUGGUGAUAGUUUCUUGGUCUGGCUGGUUGUUUUUCUGGUUUUGCUGCUAUUUUCGGCUCUGUUUUUCUGGUUUUGCUGCUAUUUUUGUGCUGGUUUUGUUCAAGUCUGUUGGCAAUGUUGCUUUUGGUGUUU